UAACCAAAGACAUAAAAUAGGUUGUUUAGGCUAAAAAAGAUCGCUUGUUGCUUAGUUGUUUAAUUGCUGGCCUCGCUAAAAAAAAAGCUAUAUCAACAAAGUCCCAGAAAAGGAAGGGGGGUUACUUGGGAGAGAGCUGGAAGGGGGGUUACUUGCUGGGCUUGCUACACAUUUCAUCACAUCAACAAGUUUAACCUGUUACAUAGCUAUAUAAGGCAGAUGCCCACUGGGGUGGGGGUGCUUACUUUAUAAACGAUUGCCAAACACCACUUUCUACACAAAAAUAAAGAUUAAGUUAGAUCCUUCACUCCUGUGUGUUUAUUGACACAAGCGCACCGGACACGAACUCACUGUCCUUUGGAGACAACAAUUUCUGGCGACCCAGAUGGGACCCUAGCUGACUGCCUUGCCCGGUCCACCUUUUCGGCUCCGGCAACAACUGUGGACGGCGCGAGGGCCAGGCACCACCGACCUUAUUCGUCGGAGGUCUGACCGUCUCCUGGUUGCCUGACGGAGUUGUGGAGGGGUACAAUGGCGCAACGCUUGAAGGACCAACUUAAUUGGGCGGGGCGAGGGAGGUUUCAACGGACUGGUCCUUCCCAUGGGAACAGCACUGAGAGAGAGUGCAUUUGGCAUCUGCCUUUCACCCUCUUCAACGUGGGGACAUCCUACAACACCUUUGUGGCUACAAGUUCCAGACCUCCAGCAUGACAGCGCUCCAGCACUGUGCCCUGACCUGUCGGCAGUGGAUUGAUAACCGUGUGUCCUUUCAUAUAUUUCGAUGUGAUAUUUUUCUCUGUCUCUCUUAGUAAAGGUGGUUCUUGAUGAA